rnacentral:rRNA from 1 species
UACGGGGGGGGCAAGCGUUGUUCGGAAUUACUGGGCGUAAAGGGUUCGUAGGUGGCCAACUAAGUCAGACGUGAAAUCCCUCAGCUUAACUGGGGAACUGCGUCUGAUACUGGUUGGCUUGAGUGCAGGAGAGGAACGCGGAAUUCCAGGUGUAGCGGUGAAAUGCGUAGAUAUCUGGAGGAACACCGGUGGCGAAGGCGGCGUCCUGGACUGCAACUGACACUGAAAGACGAAAGCCAGGGGAGCAAACGGG